UACGUAGGGGGCAAGCGUUGUCCGGAUUUAUUGGGCGUAAAGAGCGUGUAGGCGGCCAUACAGGUCAGCUGUGAAAACUCGAGGCUCAACCUCGAGACGUCGGUUGAAACCGUAUGGCUAGAGUCCGGAAGAGGGUUGUGGGAAUUCCCAGUGUAGAGGUGAAAUUCGUAGAUAUUGGGAAGAACACCGGUGGCGAAGGCGGCAACCUGGUCCUUGACUGACGCUGAGGCGCGAAAGCGUGGGGAGCAAACAGG
rnacentral:rRNA from 1 species